rnacentral:rRNA from 1 species
AAUAGAUACCCCAGGUAGUCCACGCCCUAAACGAUGUCAACUAGCUGUUGGGGCCUUCGGGCCUUGGUAGCGCAGCUAACGCGUGAAGUUGACCGCCUGGGGAGUACGGUCGCAAGAUUAAAACUCAAAGGAAUUGACGGGGACCCGCACAAGCGGUGGAUGAUGUGGAUUAAUUCGAUGCAACGCGAAAAACCUUACCUACCCUUGACAUGUCUGGAAUGCCGAAGAGAUUUGGCAGUGCUCGCAAGAGAACCGGAACACAGGUGCUGCAUGGCUGUCGUCAGCUCGUGUCGUGAGAUGUUGGGUUAAGUCCCGCAACGAGCGCAACCCUUGUCAUUAGUUGCUACGAAAGGGCACUCUAAUGAGACUGCCGGUGACAAACCGGAGGAAGUGGGGAUGACGUCAAGUCCUCAUGGCCCUUAUGGGUAGGGCUUCACACGUCAUACAAUGGUCGGGACAGAGGGUUCGCCAACCCGGCGAGGGGGGAGCCAAUCCCAGAAACCCGNUCGUAGUCCGGAUCGCAGUCUGCAA